GCUCUAAGCCAUAAGAUCUGAAGUUACAUGGGAUAAGAACACUGGUGUAGAAAUUCUAGCGGCUAUAAUAGCCCUGGUUCUUCUAGCCGGAUGUAAUAGCCCCUGGUGUAGAAAUUCUAGCGGCUUUUUCACCAAUAGCCACAAGAUCUGAAGUUACAUGGGAUAAGAACAUUCUGCAACAGCUUUUGUAAUGUCUUUUCAUCCCAAGUGGUCUCCGUCCGCAAUCAAAUCAGCUCUAAUGUCUACAGCGAGUUAAAUGCUUCUCUAUACUCAGAAGGCCAUAGAUCCAGGACUCGUCUAUUAAAACUUUGUCCAGGAGUAUUUUAAGAUAUGGCGCAACAUAUCUCAAACUCUAGGAAGUGUGAUCCACAAAAAUGCUAGUUGCCCUAUGAAAUUGGCUACCAAAGAUAUAAACUACCCUUCUAUGACAGUUGAAGUAGUAGCGGGGGAGUCAUUUGUGGUGUCUUUUCCUAGAAGCGUGACCAAUGUAGGUCGAGCCAAUUCAACAUAUGUUACACAUACAGAAGGAGACCGCUCAAAGUUGCAAGUUAGU
rnacentral:lncRNA from 1 species